ACGGAGACAUGGCAUAAAGCCCAAAAAGAGACUUUGAAAAACUUGACGGUCAACUUGAACUUAAUAAUUUGCAUCUCAUUUU